rnacentral:rRNA from 1 species
GACGAACGCUGGCGGCGUGCUUAACACAUGCAAGUCGAACGGAAAGGCCCUGCUUUUGUGGGGUGCUCGAGUGGCGAACGGGUGAGUAACACGUGAGUAACCUGCCCUUGACUUUGGGAUAACUUCAGGAAACUGGGGCUAAUACCGGAUAGGAGCUCCUGCUGCAUGGUGGGGGUUGGAAAGUUUCGGCGGUUGGGGAUGGACUCGCGGCUUAUCAGCUUGUUGGUGGGGUAGUGGCUUACCAAGGCUUUUGCGGGUAGCCGGCCUGAGGGUGACCGGCCACAUGGGGACUGAGAUACGGCCCAGACUCCUACGGGAGGCAGCAGUAGGGAAUAUUGCACAAUGGGCGGAAGCCUGAUGAAGCAACGCCGCGUGCGGGAUGACGGCCUUCGGGUGGUAAACCGCUUUCGCCUGUGACGAAGAGUGAGUGACGGUAAUGGGUAAAGAAGCACCGGCUAACUACGUG